AAAAAUAGAAAAAAUAUAUACGGACCCACACAAUUUCUACGGGCUUCCAUUUUGUUUUUUAGAGACAUACGCAUAUAUACAUAUUACUCCUUAUCCCUUUUUCCAUUAAGAGGGAGCACAACACACACAGAGAAAUGAAUCCUUUUCUUCCUUCUCACAAAAAAUCACGCACACACAUACACAACUCACCAUAAAAUGCUCUCUCUCACUGGAAACACACAUGCACGCACAUAGUGAGGACGAGGUCGGAAAUUGGAGGGAGCUUGAGAUUCUGACGAGAAACCAAGAAGCCAGUGCGAGAUCUAUCAUUUUUCUUGAGUUUUUUUGGCAAACUUUUGCUGAAAGUAGUUUACAGGUCGUAGUCUGCUCGGCUUAGUCCCAAAAUCCCAAGAUCUCAUCGGUUUCCUUCAAUUUUCGAGUAGAUUUGGAUGGGAAACACUAAAAGUCACUUGAAUCUGACCCUUAAUCAUCGUGAUUUGGCUGCUGUCAGCUCACUCGAGAUCAGUUUCAAUCUGUCUCAAUUCUCUAUUAGAUUUUUAGGGUGCUUCGGGUUUUAUUCUUGGUUUGAAAUCUGUUUGGGUGAUGAUUUUGGGAAAUUGAUUUAGUUUGCUCAUCGUUGGGGUUCCCUUUCGACGAUUGCAGUCCCAAAUUUCUCUAUUAAAGCCAAAAACAAGUUUUAUUGAGGUCCAUGUCCUUAACCCAUUCCCUUUUCUUUAUCUUGAUUUUUGAAUUAGUUGUGAUUAUGAAUGCUAUGAUCAUGAUUAUUGGAUUUUUGUUGACGUUAUGAUGUUUAAUUUUGUUAAUGUUAUGAUUUCGGUGAUAUGAGGAGCGAAUUUGAGUAAUUUUGCUGGUGUGAUUGAUAAAAAU
rnacentral:lncRNA from 1 species